AGUUUUGAGCUAAAUAUAAUUUAAUAUUAGUUAUUUUUAUAAAGGUGUUGUAAAACCUUAUACAAAAUUAUACUUAGGGGUGAUAGGCCUUUCAAAAGCUAAGAUAUCUUGAUUCUAAUUAAAAGUAUAUAGUACAAUAAAUACAACUAGGAAGUGAUUAGGCUUUAUAGAAAUAUAAAUUUAUAAAAAAUUACUUACUACAAUUUAAUAAUUAAGUAUAUAUGUGUAUUAAUAUUAAUAUAUUAUAAUUUAUAUGGAAGAAUUAGAUAAAAUAAAGUUUAUAUUUUUUUGUAAUAAUGUUUAUAUUAGUAUUAAAAAAUUAAAUUUAUAUGAUGAACUCGGCAAUAAUGCUUUCUCAACUGUUUAUCAAAAACAUAACUAUGUGAAUUAAAUACAUAGCGGUUUCUGCUCAA
rnacentral:rRNA from 1 species